rnacentral:lncRNA from 1 species
GUUAUAUAAUUGUAUACCCGAGCCCGAUUGGAUGAGCAUCUCUGUUUUAUCCCUCUCCCUCUGUAUCCAUGGAAAUUCCUUGGAUCCUUGGAUCCUACCGUAAUUGCAGCACUUAAUGAUUGAAUAAUGGAAGAAGAGAGUGAGCUAAGCGCUUGCCUCAGCCACGAGAUACGUAGAUACAAGAUAGAAAUUGUUGUUUAAUUUGCGGAAAUUGUUUGCCAAAGUGGCUAAAAAAAGUGAAGGUAGAGUACGAGGAGUUGCCUCUUCCUUG